CACUUGGAGGAAUGAGAAGCGAGAGCUAAUUACAUUUACUUAAAAUUAAAUUUUAAGAGUGGUACCUUUUUAUUUUAAAAAUUUGAAAGCCUUUUAAAGGAAGGAGGGUCCAUUUUUUAUGUAGUUACUAUUUAGUAGUUUAAAAUUCUAGAUAGAAUUAUGAUGAUGACAUUAUCUAUCUAUAAGUCUCGACCAAAAUGCGUGCCAGCAGUCGCGGUAAUACGUGAGAGACAAGUGUUAUUCAUCUUUAUUGGGUUUAAAGUGUACCAAGACGGUUAAUAAAGCCCAAAAUACAUGAAAACAGGGGACACAUUAACUAGAGUUAUAUGAAAGGAAGCACUAAAGUACUGUUGAGUUGAGAGUUAAAAUUCCGUGAUACCAGAUCAAGGCACAGAUUUAUGCGAAGGCAUCUUCUUAUGUAAUAACUGACGUUGUAGGACGAAGGCUUUUUAAGUAAAGAGGAUUAGAGACCCUUGUAAUCUAAGCAGAAAAUGAUGAAUGUCAUAGGUUUAAUAUAUUAGGUCUAUAAAUGAAAGUGUAAGCAUUCCACCUCAAGAGUAAUUUGGCAACAUUGGAACUGAAAUCAUUAGACCGUUUCUGAAACCAGUAGUGAAGUAUGUUGUUUAAUUUGAUGAUACACAAAAAACCUUACCACAAUUUGAAUAUAUAUCUUUAAAGAUAUUUACAAGCGUUGCACGGCUGUCUUCAGUUAAUGUCGUGAGGCUAUGGUUAGAUCCAUAAAAUUAACGUAAACCCUCGUUUUAUUUAUAAAUAGAAUUUAGAUCAGAUUCGUUGGAAUUUGAGAUAAGAAAAGGGACUAUG
rnacentral:rRNA from 1 species